GGCCAUUUUCGCCAGGGACUCACGCGCGCCCCUUUUUCCUUUUGCGAGGCUGCCAAGGUGGGUCCUCCUUUUUAUACGGAGCAUAAAAAUGCCCCGUCUGUCUUUUCGUAUCGGUUGCUUGCUUUGUUCUUUGGCUCUCCGUUGCUUCCGCCGCUCGAUCUCGUCUGGAUGGCGCGCGUUAAUUCGAUCGCGCGGGCACGGACGAACUUUGCGUGUCAAACAGAAAAUAAGACAUGAACUUUGUAAUCGCAGCCUGCAGGUGGUUUUUUUGUUUUUCUUUUCCUCCCGUGCGGAUACGCGUCGAAUAUGUUGACUACCUUUUCUUGUAGCCUGAGUACGCUUCUAGGUGUUUUUUUAACAUACGAAAACAUUGCCUUCGUUUUUUUAAUGAGCUAUACGUGCCAGACACGAGUUUUUCUAAAAAUACAUUGAUAUUACUGUUUUUUUUCCAACAUUGACAUGAACACUUACUAUCAAUAUAUAUGUCAUGGUACACAUUGGAGGCCCUUCAAAGCCGCAUUGUCUAGUUAAGCAUUUCUUUUUGGCAAGGAUACAUUCAGAAUCGACAUCGGUUCUUCGACUUCUGUCUUUCAAUCGACGUAGGACAUGUCAGCCACACAAAGACAGGUGCCAUGAGUUAGGGAAUCAGUGUUCGUUCAUAACUUGGUACACGUCCCCACCAAAAGCUGAUUAUAUGGAAUCAGAGGACGAGCCUGGAACAUCUGCGGUAGUGUCA
rnacentral:lncRNA from 1 species